rnacentral:rRNA from 1 species
CGAACGGGUGAGUAACGCGUGAGGAACCUGCCUCAAAGAGGGGGACAACAGUUGGAAACGACUGCUAAUACCGCAUAAGCCCACGGCUCGGCAUCGAGCAGAGGGAAAAGGAGCAAUCCGCUUUGAGAUGGCCUCGCGUCCGAUUAGCUAGUUGGUGAGGUAACGGCCCACCAAGGCGACGAUCGGUAGCCGGACUGAGAGGUUGAACGGCCACACUGGGACUGAGACACGGCCCAG